rnacentral:rRNA from 1 species
GACGAACGCUGUCGGCGUGCCUAAUACAUGCAAGUAGAACGAGUUGCGAACGGGUGAGUAACGCGUGGUAACCUGCCUCAUAGCGGGGGAUAACUAUUGGAAACGGUAGCUAAUACCGCAUACCCUCAGAUGUGCCCAGAUGGGAUUAGCUAGGAGGUGGGGUAACGGCGCACCUAGGCGACGAGCCCUAGCGGGUCUGAGAGGAGGACCAGCCACACGGGAACUGAGACACGGUCCAGACUCCUCCGGGAGGCAGCAGGGGGGAAGAUUGCACAAUGGGCGCAAGCCUGAUGCCGCCAUGCCGCGUGUGUGAAGAAGGCCUGCGGGUUGUAAAGCACUUUCAGCGGGGGGGCGUUACCCGCAGAAGAAGCACCGGCUAACUCCGUGCCAGCAGCCGCGGUAAUUC